rnacentral:lncRNA from 1 species
GCAGAGAGCAGAACAUGGAAGGAGACUUCUCGGUGUGCAGGAACUGUAAAAGACAUGUAGUCUCUGCCAACUUCACCCUCCAUGAGGCUUACUGCCUGCGGUUCCUGGUCCUGUGUCCGGAGUGUGAGGAGCCUGUCCCCAAGGAAACCACGGAGGAGCACUGCAAGGUGGAGCACCAGCAGGUUGGGUGUACGAUGUGUCAGCAGAGCAUGCAGAAGUCCUCGCUGGAGUUUCAUAAGGUAAGAGCCCCAUGUGAUUUCUCCUUUACAGCCAAAUAGACCAACCUGAGAAAAGGAGAGGAAGGGGAAACGGGAGGCCAGUAAUAGAGAUUUCCACCUGACCACUCUUUUCACCCCAUUAGGCUUGGAGAGCAGUGGAGAACUAGCCCACCGCAUAACACAGGUCCUCCUGUCCCCCAGAUACUGGUCAGAAGGGUUUUCCAUGGUCCAUGAGUCCAUCAGAGCUCAGAUUCCCCGAAGGCAAUCCCGCAUUCUGGCCCUUCUCAUCUGCUUUCUCGUAUUGGCCCUAAUUCCCUAGGGAGAUGGGCACAAGUCCUUGAUCUGCCUACAGUCAAAGAGGCCAGUGAUCGGC